rnacentral:rRNA from 1 species
CGGCAGGCCUAACACAUGCAAGUCGAGCGGUAGCACAAGAGAGCUUGCUCUCUGGGUGACGAGCGGCGGACGGGUGAGUAAUGUCUGGGAAACUGCCUGAUGGCGGGGGAUAACUAGUGGAAACGGUAGCUAAUACCGCAUAACGUCGCAAGACCAAAGUGGGGGACCUUCGGGCCUCACGCCAUCAGAUGUGCCCAGGUGGGAUUAGCUGGUAGGUGGGGUAACGGCUCACCUAGGCGACGAUCCCUAGCUGGUCUGAGAGGAUGACCAGCCACACUGGAACUGAGACACGGUCCAGACUCCUACGGGAGGCAGCAGUGGGGAAUAUUGCACAAUGGGCGCAAGCCUGAUGCAGCCAUGCCGCGUGUGUGAAGAAGGCCUUCGGGUUGUAAAGCACUUUCAGCGAGGAGGAAGGGUAAUGUGUUAAUAG